rnacentral:rRNA from 1 species
UAAGCAAGAUAUGAAAGCGUACGGCUCAACCGUAUAUCCGUAUUUUGAACUGAUUGACUAGAGGGCGAGAGAGGUUAUUGGAAUUUCUGUGUAGGAGUGAAAUCCGUAGAUAUAAGAAGGAACACCGAUGGCGUAGGCAGAUAACUGGCUCGCACCUGACACUGAGGCACGAAAGUGUGGGGAGCAAACGGGAUUAGAUACCCCGGUAGUCCACGCCGUAAACUAUGGAUGCUA